UCUGACGUGAUAAAGGCCCGUUCCUGGGUAAUAUUCAGCACCCUAGGGCAAGAAAGAGAGGGAUAGAAAACAGUGAACAGAACACAGCAAUGAGAGUCAGAUUUCAUAAAUUUCCUUUGAAAGAAAUAAGUAUUGAAUUAAAAAGGAAUGUUGGAAAGUAUUUAAAGCAAGGAAGGAUUGGGAUUAGGCCAGAUGGCUUGUAUUAAAAAGAGGUUAACUUAAUGGCCCAUGUCGAGUGAAAUCUGUGAAUAUGGGCACCUAGGGAACAGACAUCAAGUGUCUGUUUUUUUGCAAACAUAUAUUGUUCAGUAUGUCAUUUUAGAUCUGUUAAAUAGUCAACAUUGGCCUGGAGAUCACAUUACACUCGGCUGCAAGAACUACUCCUUCCUCAAAUGGCCCAGGAGAUGGCUACUAAAGUUCUUUUUCAUUGAUGUGGUUGGCACUGACAAGUUGUUGCCACUCCCAGUUGCCCUGAGAACAUGGUGCUUGCCAGGCAACUGAAAGGUCAUUCAGAGUCACCCACAUUGGUCGAGAGGCUGGAGUCACAGAAAAGGCAAAUCAUGUUUCCCCAAAGCAGCAUCACUGCUGGACUUCCUGACACAUUGUAAAGUCAGCGGGUGGAACUGUAGAGAAAACAUCUGUCCAUAAGAAUGAUGUUAAUGGGAACAGACUCAGAGCUGGGCAGGAGCAAAGACACUACUGGAUCACAGAACUUCAAAGCAGGUGAUAAAGAUGGUAAGGACAUUAACACAAAAGCUAAUGGAACACUAGAUUUUACCAAAAAGAAUGGAAUAUAAAGGCCAAGAGGUAAUGAUGAAUCUACAUAAAAUGUUAUGAUGAGUU